rnacentral:rRNA from 1 species
CAUAAUCUCUGAGGAGAAAAGCAGGGGAUCGCAAGACCUUGCGCUUUUGGAGCGGCCGAUGUCUGAUUAGCUAGUUGGUGAGGUAAAGGCUUACCAAGGCUUCGAUCAGUAGCUGGUCUGAGAGGACGACCAGCCACACUGGGACUGAGACACGGCCCAGACUCCUACGGGAGGCAGCAGUGGGGAAUUUUGGACAAUGGGGGCAACCCUGAUCCAGCCAUGCCGCGUGAGUGAAGAAGGCCUUCGGGUUGUAAAGCUCUUUCAGCCGGAACGAAACGGUCACGGUUAAUACCCGUGACUACUGACGGUACCGGAAGAAGAAG